rnacentral:rRNA from 1 species
AGAAUCAACGCUGGCGGCGUGCCUAACACAUGCAAGUCGAACGAGAAAGUGGAGCAAUCCAUGAGUAAAGUGGCGCACGGGUGAGUAACACGUGACUAACCUACCCUUGAGUGGGGGAUAAACCUAGGGAAACCUGGGCUAAUACCGCAUAAUACCUUCGGGUCAAAGGAGCAAUUCGCUUAAGGAGGGGGUCGCGGCCGAUUAGUUAGUUGGCGGGGUAAUGGCCCACCAAGACUGUGAUCGGUA